CGCCAAAAGAAAAGUCCUUCCUCUACGAAAUUGUGUCCAACAAAAAAAACGGCGUUGAUGUGGACAAGUUUGACUACUUGGCCAGGGACUCUUCCUACCUGGGAUCAAGAACAACUUUGACUUUCGUCGCUUCCUGCAGUUUGCCAGAGUGUGUGAGGUUGAAGACAAAGACUGCAAAGAAGGAAAAAGGAAAACUAUCUGCACCAGAGACAAGAAGGAAGACCAUAUGUAC